AGAGUGAACGCUGGCGGCAGGCCUAAUACAUGCAAGUCGAACGGCAGCACGGCAGAGCUUGCUCUGUGGGUGGCGAGUGGCGGACGGGUGAGGAAUACAGUGGGAAUCUGCCCAGUCGUGGGGGAUAACGUAUGGAAACGUACGCUAAUACCGCAUGCGCCCGUUCGGGGGAAAGCCGGGACCUUCGGGCCUGGCGCGAUUGGAUGACGCCCAGUGUCGAUUAGCUAGGUUGGACGGGGUAACGCCCACAAGGCGACGUAUCCGUAGCUAGGUCUAGAGGAGGAUAGAUC
rnacentral:rRNA from 1 species